UCCCUGGUGGUGCAGUGGCUAAGACUCUGCAUUCCCAAUACAGGAGGCCCAGGUUCAAUCCCUGGUCAGGGAU
rnacentral:tRNA from 1 species